AGUGAACGCUGGCGGUAGGCCUAACACAUGCAAGUCGAACGGCAGCACAGUAAGAGCUUGCUCUUACGGGUGGCGAGUGGCGGACGGGUGAGGAAUACAUCGGAAUCUACUUUUUCGUGGGGGAUAACGUAGGGAAACUUGCGCUAAUACCGCAUACGACCUACGGGUGAAAGCAGGGGAUCUUCGGACCUUGCGCGAUUGAAUGAGCCGAUGUCGGAUUAGCUAGUUGGCGGGGUAAAGGCCCACCAUGGCGACGAUCCGUAGCUGGUCUGAGAGGAUGAUCAGCCACACUGGAAGUGAGACAGGGUACAGACUCCUGCGGGAGGCAGCAGUGGGGAAUAUUGGACAAUGGGGGAGAGCCUGAUCCAGCCAUACCGCGUGGGUGAAGAAGGCCUUCGGGUUGUAAAGCCCUUUUGUUGGGAAAGAAAAGCAGCAGGUUAAUACGCCGCUGUUCUGACGGUACCCAAAGAAUAAGCACCGGCUAACUUCGUG
rnacentral:rRNA from 1 species